rnacentral:rRNA from 1 species
GAUGAACGCUGGCGGCGUGCCUAAUACAUGCAGGUCGAGCGAACAGACGAGGAGCUUGCUCCUCUGACGUUAGCGGCGGACGGGUGAGUAACACGUGGAUAACCUACCUAUAAGACUGGGAUAACUUCGGGAAACCGGAGCUAAUACCGGAUAAUAUAUUGAACCGCAUGGUUCAAUAGUGAAAGACGGUUUUGCUGUCACUUAUAGAUGGAUCCGCGCCGCAUUAGCUAGUUGGUAAGGUAACGGCUUACCAAGGCAACGAUGCGUAGCCGACCUGAGAGGGUGAUCGGCCACACUGGAAAUGAGACACGGUCCAGACUCCUAAGGGAGGCGGCAGUAGGGAAUCUUGCGCAAUGGGCGAAAGCCUGAAGGAGCCACGCCGCGUGAGUGAUGAAGGUCUUCGGAUCGUAAAACUCUGUUAUUAGGGAAGAACAAAUGUGUAAGUAACUAUGCACGUCUUGACGGUACCUAAUCAGAAAGCCACGGCUAACUACGUG